CCUACGGGUGGCAGCAGUGAGGAAUAUUGGUCAAUGGACGAGAGUCUGAACCAGCCAAGUAGCGUGAAGGAUGACUGCCCUAUGGGUUGUAAACUUCUUUUGUAAAGGAAUAAAACGAGGCACGCGUGCCUUUUUGCAUGUACUCUAUGAAAAAGGAUCGGCUAACUCCGUGCCAGCAGCCGCGGUAAUACGGAGGAUCCGAGCGUUAUCCGGAUUUAUUGGGUUUAAAGGGAGCGUAGACGGGUUGUUAAGUCAGUUGUGAAAGUGUGGGGCUCAACCGUAAAAGUGCAUUUGAUACUGGCAGUCUUGAGUGCGGUUGAGGUAGGCGGAAUUCGUGGUGUAGCGGUGAAAUGCUUAGAUAUCACGAAGAACCCCGAUUGCGAAGGCAGCUUACUAAGCUGUGACUGACGUUGAUGCUCGAAAGUGUGGGUAUCGAACAGGAUUAGAUACCCGAGUAGUC
rnacentral:rRNA from 1 species